rnacentral:lncRNA from 1 species
GAGACUCCGUCUUAAAAAAAAAAAAAAAAAAGGCUGCUGGGUUUGAUCAAGGUUGUUGAGAGGAGUUUAAAUUCAAUAGUGAUGGGAGGCAGAAGCCAAAAUUCCUUCAAAAAAGGAAUCAGUGAGAGGUGGGGAAAAUGGAGAAUGAUUUUUUCAUUUUGUCUUGUAAACAGAAAGUUAUCCAGUUUUGAAAGCAAUGGUAUAGGGAAAGAUGAAAGGUUGAGACUUUUCUUUAGGUGAAGAAUAGCUGCGUAGGUUUAUAGGCUGACAGGAUGGCAGCGAUGAAAAGGGAGAUAUUGCAGACAUGAAAGAGAAGGUAUUAUUCUCAGAGGAAAGUCCUAGAAGAAAAGGGAGGAAUAAGAUCAGGGGUCAGCAUUAGAAAAGAGGAGUAAGACUACUUUCAGGGAGAGAACAGUUGGAGGCAGGGGAUCUGGUGAUGAGUCAAGAGGAGGGGAAGCUGAUUGGAGCAGUCCUAUGGGAUGGUCCGUUACUUCAGUUAAGAUCAGGAGGCUGAGGGUGACCAUGGGAGCAUGUGGUAAAAACUCCAGGGGCCAGAUAUUAAGAGGCUGGACAUGGGAGGUGUGGAAUCCUGCAUUCAAGAUCUGCACACAGGGAACUUUCAUAUUACCCACAAGCCAGAAAUAGUAAUGACAUUAGUCUCUUAUAUACUGUGCAAUUUAGGAAGUAUUUUCAUGUUAUUUUGCAACAAAUCUGUCAUUCCAGAUGAUAUUUACUUAACAUUUAAAAAUAAGCAAAUUUAAGCCCAGAGUGACUGUGAUUUGCUUGGAUGUUUUUACAUCUAGUAAAUAAUUGUCACACAGUUUUAAUUCAAGGGCUUUUAGUUUCUUUCCUUUCCUUUUCUAACAUUUUGUCUUUGAUGUUUUUGUCUAGAAACUUUGUUCAUAAGGUCCCUAAGGCAUGAGUUAAGCUCUGAUGAUUAAAUAACCCACACUCUGUAUAGAAUUACUUUUGAGACUUCUCUCCUUCCAGAUGCACAAUUUACAGCAAACCAAUUAGAUAUAACAAGUGCUGACAUUCCACUAAAAUACUUUAGGUAAUACAUGUACCCACAAAUAUAAUUAUACAAUUACUAAGACAUCAUUCAUUCAGUGAAUAACUUACUGAAUCUAUUAUGCCAGGCAUUUUGCUGAGCACUAUGGGAAACAGAACUGAACCAGAUAUUUUGUAUCAGACAAGUAAACUCAAAAACACCAAAACAAUGUGGUAAGACAUCCUGCGCAAACGCAGUUAGUCUUGGGUGAGUGUGCCAUGUUCGUGUAAUGAAGUGUCUGCCAGGAUGAAAUAUUAGAUGUGAGGACUGAGAGCAAGGAAAGUUUAGAAGCCCAGGUUUCUUAGGCCAGUGUGUGAAUGCUGGUACCUUUUGUGGAACUAUGGGAUAAGUGAAGCCUGAGUUUCAGGGAACAGCGAGUUCCAUUUAGGGCAUGUAUAGUUACAGUAUCUGUAAGACAUCUGUGUAGAGGUGAACAGUUUGAAGUUGGCUUUACAGGUCAAAGCUCAGGAAAGAUUUAAAGGCUGAAGAAAGAAGAGAUACAGAAGCAGACUGAGAGGUUAAGUGUUUGGAUAUAGUUACAAAUAAUAAAAAUCUCAGUGGCUUAACAAAAAAAGCAUAAGCUUGUUCAUUCUGUGUCCAAUGUGGACUGGCAGAACCCUGCUUCAAACCAGCAUUCAAAGAACGAGGCUGACAGAGCCAGUCAUCUUUUAACUGCACUGACUGCAACAUGAAGCCUUGUCACUGUAGCAACGGAAACGAUCAGGGAGGGUUUGGGGCCAGAUCUUGCAUACUUUGGCUCAGAAGUGACACAUCACUUUUACCUAAACCCUACUGGCAGAAGUGGUCACGUGGCCCCGACCAAUCACAAAGAGGCUGAAAAGUACAAUCUUGUGUAUGCCCAGAAGGGGAAGAAAACCAGGUCUUAGUUAAGAGUAAUGCCAGAGUAUAAUUAAAAUUCUGAUAUUUUCUGCCAUUUUAUAUGCAGCAUGCAAUUUUCUGUUCUAUCCAGCUAUCUCUUAAGCCACAUGUUCCAGUAAUAUUAAGAUUCACGCAGUUCUCUGAACAUGCCAAGUGACUUCACACUUUCAUUCAACCUGCACCUUCAAUAUGCACGUUGAUGCCCUUGCAUCUCGUUUCCUCUGCCUAUGACAUACUCAAGCUGUGGCAGAACUGUGCCCCAUGAGAAACCUUUCCUAACCCUCUCUCAGGCAGGCCUGGGCAUUCCUCUUGCUCUGUGUUUUCACUAUAAAUACCAAAAUUGCCAAUUUACAUUCACUAAUCUUUUACUCAUCUGUGACUGUUAAGGAAUAGGCACCUGAACCAUUAGUCCAUUCACAUAUUUAAUAUUUUCCAUUACACAGCACAGAGUAUAUGAACUCAAAAGAUAGACUGCCCAGGUUUGGAUACUGGAGAGACCACUUGCAACAUUUGUAAAUCCUCAUUAAUUUAUACAACCUUCUGUUCCAUUGUUUCCUCAUCUGUAGCAGAGUUAUGAAGAUUAAAUUAGACAAUGUGUGAUAAAUGACACACAGUGCCUAUCACAAAGCUCAACAAAAUCACCUACAGUUAUUAAUGUCACUGUGUCAGGCACCAAAAGAGAAAGUUCCCUUUUGUCUCUAAAGUUAAUUUCAAGUUGCUAUGUAUAGGAAAAGAGUGGUCCCAUUUCUGUAAGUAAACUCCAUACAUAGGAUACAUUUCUAACAAUCCACCAUUUACUUUUAUAAAAAUUCAAUAACAUUAAAAAGGAGAAAUUUUGUUUGAAGACUAAAGUCCCAUUACAGAUUUUUCACUUAUGAACAAAGAAAGCAGUUUCAAAGAAAAAUGGCACAGUUUGAAAGAUAUUUACCCAAGAUGAGUUAAAAUAUUCUGUAACUAUAAAAGAUUAGAUAAAAUAAUAAUGAAUAUGGAAAUAGUAAACAUGAUACUAACUUUCAUCUUCACUUCUAAGUGAAUAAGAAAAUGCUCCAGAAAGGGGGAACGCACUACAGACCGCAGAAAUAAAUGACAGUACACUGAUGGAGAUUGAAAUUCCUUCACUUUGACCCAGUCAACAAAGGAGCUUUCAACAUUUACAGGUGUCAGAGAAGUCAAGACCUGAAGAGAACCCAGCCAUGCAGUGUAGAGGGAAGAGCAGAGCUCAUAGAAAGUGUGUCCCAGCACUUUGGGAGGCCAAGCACACACCACCUUCAGAAGAAAAUGUUCUUUAUCUCGAUUGGGAUAUUGGCUACAAGAGGAUAUGCACAUACCAAAAGUCAAUGACCUGCACAAUUACAAUGUAUGAACUUCAUUGUAUUACACCUUAAUAAAAUUGAGCUUAAAAAAUUAUUUCAGGAAGUACUAUUUUCCAAUA